AGAGUUUGAUCCUGGCUCAGGACGAACGCUGGCGGCGCGCCUAACACAUGCAAGUCGAACGGAGUCAAGAGGAGCUUGCUUUUCUUGACUUAGUGGCGAACGGGUGAGUAACGCGUGAGUAACCUGCCCUGGAGUGGGGGACAACAGUUGGAAACGACUGCUAAUACCGCAUAAGCCCACGGCCCGGCAUCGGGCUGCGGGAAAAGGAUUUAUUCGCUUCAGGAUGGACUCGCGUCCAAUUAGCUAGUUGGUGAGGUAACGGCCCACCAAGGCGACGAUUGGUAGCCGGACUGAGAGGUUGAACGGCCACAUUGGGACUGAGACACGGCCCAGACUCCUACGGGAGGCAGCAGUGGGGGAUAUUGCACAAUGGGGGAAACCCUGAUGCAGCGACGCCGCGUGGAGGAAGAAGGUUUUCGGAUUGUAAACUCCUGUCGUUAGGGACGAUAAUGACGGUACCUAACAAGAAAGCACCGGCUAACUACGUGCCAGCAGCCGCGGUAAAACGUAGGGUGCAAGCGUUGUCCGGAAUUACUGGGUGUAAAGGGAGCGCAGGCGGACCGGCAAGUUGGAAGUGAAAACUAUGGGCUCAACCCAUAAAUUGCUUUCAAAACUGCUGGCCUUGAGUAGUGCAGAGGUAGGUGGAAUUCCCGGUGUAGCGGUGGAAUGCGUAGAUAUCGGGAGGAACACCAGUGGCGAAGGCGACCUACUGGGCACCAACUGACGCUGAGGCUCGAAAGCAUGGGUAGCAAACAGGAUUAGAUACCCUGGUAGUCCAUGCCGUAAACGAUGAUUACUAGGUGUUGGAGGAUUGACCCCUUCAGUGCCGCAGUUAACACAAUAAGUAAUCCACCUGGGGGAGUACGACCGCAAGGGUUGAAACUCAAAGGGAAUUGACGGGGGGCCCGCACAAGCAGUGGAGUAUGUGGUUUAAUUCGAAGCAACGCGAAGAACCUUACCAGGUCUUGACAUCCGAUGCAUAGCUUAGAGAUAAGUGAAGUCCUUCGGGACAUCGAGACAGGUGGUGCAUGGUUGUCGUCAGCUCGUGUCGUGAGAUGUUGGGUUAAGUCCCGCAACGAGCGCAACCCUUAUUGCCAGUUACUACGUAAGAGGACUCUGGCGAGACUGCCGUUGACAAAACGGAGGAAGGUGGGGAUGACGUCAAAUCAUCAUGCCCUUUAUGACCUGGGCUACACACGUACUACAAUGGCGUUUAACAAAGAGAAGCAAGACCGCGAGGUGGAGCAAAACUCAAAAACAACGUCUCAGUUCAGAUUGCAGGCUGCAACUCGCCUGCAUGAAGUCGGAAUUGCUAGUAAUCGCGGAUCAGCAUGCCGCGGUGAAUACGUUCCCGGGCCUUGUACACACCGCCCGUC
rnacentral:rRNA from 1 species